rnacentral:rRNA from 1 species
AGCAGUCGCCGCGGUAAUACGAAGGGUGCAAGCGUUAAUCGGAAUUACUGGGCGUAAAGCGUGCGUAGGCGGUGAGUUAAGUCUGCUGUGAAAUCCCCGGGCUCAACCUGGGAAUGGCAGUGGAUACUGGCUCGCUAGAGUGUGUCAGAGGAUGGUGGAAUUCCCGGUGUAGCGGUGAAAUGCGUAGAGAUCGGAGGAACAUCAGUGGCGAAGGCGGCCAUCUGGGACAACACUGACGCUGAGGCACGAAAGCGUGGGGAGCAAACAGGAUUAGAUACCCGUGUAGUCCCUGUCUCUUAUACA